rnacentral:lncRNA from 1 species
UUUUGAAUUUUUUUUGGUUUUAUUAAUCAAUGAAGUUUUUAUCUGUUUAGAAGCUCAUGUAGAAAACAAUGUAUUUGACAUUUUUAAGGGCACCUUCACAUUGGAGGUGUGUAAAUGACUUAAGAUGCUCAUAAAAGAUACCCCUGAUCCCCAAAAAAUGUUUUUGGAAUACUCCUGAAUUUUUGGGCUAGCUCCAACAUUUGGGUCAUAAAAACUAUUGGAGUUGGAUCUGUUGCUCAAGUGAGGGUCAAUAAUUUGAAUAAAAUUUUAUUAAUUCUAAUAUCUUUAGUCUUAUUUUGUAUAUAAAAUUUUAUUAAUUCUAAUAUCUUACUAAUGCUGAUAUGUGUUUCUUCUUGUGAGGGUCAAUAAUUUGAAAGUCAUUUGCUCUAUGGGCUUGAAGUCUUGGAUUGGGCUGAGUUCGUGAGUCAGAAGGUUCGUGAGCUAAAAAGUGUUGCAAAAUAGUGGUUGUUGAAGUCCUUAUAUAAAAGGGUUGUGGAUCUCACUUGUUAUAACUCUCCAAUAAUUCACACAGUUCAGUAAGUUGUGUCUAGGGUUUCUUAAAGUGGAUCUCAUAUGUUAUUUGUGGGGUCUUGUGUUUUCUGUUCGAUGAUCAUCAGAUUAGUCGUUUGCAAAAGAACUUUAUCUUGUGAAAAGUUCUAUUUCUGACAUAUCUUAUU